rnacentral:rRNA from 1 species
GACGAACGCUGGCGGCGUGCCUAAUACAUGCAAGUCGAGCGGACCUUUUAAAAGCUUGCUUUUGAAAGGUCAGCGGCGGACGGGUGAGUAACACGUGGGCAACCUGCCUGUAAGACUGGGAUAACUUCGGGAAACCGGAGCUAAUACCGGAUAAUAUAAGGAACCUCCUGGUUCUUUAUUGAAAGAUGGUUUAGGCUAUCACUUACAGAUGGGCCCGCGGCGCAUUAGCUAGUUGGUGAGGUAACGGCUCACCAAGGCGACGAUGCGUAGCCGACCUGAGAGGGUGAUCGGCCACACUGGGACUGAGACACGGCCCAGACUCCUACGGGAGGCAGCAGUAGGGAAUCUUCCACAAUGGACGAAAGUCUGAUGGAGCAACGCCGCGUGAGCGAUGAAGGCCUUCGGGUCGUAAAGCUCUGUUGUUAGGGAAGAACAAGUGCGAGAGUAACUGCUCGCACCUUGACGGUACCUAACCAGAAAGCCACGGCUAACUACGUGCCAGCCGCCGCAGUAAAAC